rnacentral:lncRNA from 1 species
ACAGUUUUGGAACGAGGAGGGAAAAGUAGAGUCCAGUAGCUGUAAUGGCAGACAUUUUACAGUCCAUAAACAAACCAAAGUUAAUAUAUCUAUCUGCACACUGCAAUGAAACUAGGAUAGAUCCUAUCCUUAUAUCAUUUUUACAUUUCUCAUUUCUCUUUAGAAGUAUGCAAUUUACCAUAAAGAAAGAAAAAAAAAAUGUAAUCAGUGCAGGUUUCUAUGGUUACUGACUGUUUUCCUUGGAAUUAGAAUCUGCUGUCUCCCUCUCUACCACAGAUAAACUUUCUUCCAUUCUGUCUCUCUAUAUACUUUUGGGUGCAGGCAUGACUGGGUGGUUAAAAAGUUUACUUCACAGAUAGACAGGUGUGGUUUUGGAUUUCAUUGCACUGCACAGAAUUUGGUUGCCAACAUGACUUGGAUGGGUAAGCAUCAUGCUUUCAUUGUGGAAAUGUUUGUCAAGAACAAUGAAUCCAUAACUGCAACAUGAAGAGCGUUCUGUGUACACUUCAGGUUUGGUAGACAUAAUCCCAUACCUACUUGAAACAUGAUUUUGUUAUGGGUUACCAACUUCAGAGCAAGUGAAUCAGCAUUGAAACAAAAAUCAAUUGGCCGACCUCAGAAUGCCAGAAGUCUGGAAAAUGUGGCAGCGGUAAAUAUCAAAUUGAUUCGAUAACAGAAAGUCACAGAACAACAGAAUCAUUCCACCAUUGUUGUUUUGGGGUGCACCAGGCAUACUGUCAAUAAAAUUGUUAAGUUGACGAAAUUUCCAAAAGCAACAGUUUACCGUGUGUAUAAACAACUUAAAGAAGUGGGAAAGAUUGAUAGAAAAAAGCACUAGACUCAAAGUGAUUCCUAGCCCAAUCCAAAGUUUCUCACUGGCCUCAAACACUUGAUUGAAACCAUCCCAUCCACAUCCAUGACAACUCUUGCAAAGAAAUGCAAUGUAACCCUUUCUAUGGUGUCCAAAGCUGUGAACAGUAACCUUGGCAUGACUAGCUAUGUUCGACAAUGCCAUCACCACCUAACAGCCAAGGCCAAAGCAAUCAGAGCUGAGGGAUGCCCAAAGCUUCUGUCAUUUAUCAAGCAUCAAGGUGUAGGAAAAACUCUUGUGUUUGUGGACAAGAAGAAGUUCACUGUGGAUGCGAAGAUGAAUCACAGAAAUUCUCAAGUGAUUGCAUACAACCCUUCUGAUAUCCCCCUGCUUUUGAGACUAAGAAUCCUGCUUCUGUGAUGGUAUUUGGAGCUGUGAGUGACGGAAGUGUCAUGGAUCCACACUUCAUUGAAUCUGGCUUGAAGAUCAGCACAAAGGAGUAUCUGGACAUCCUGAAGAACUCUCUAUUACUUUGGAUGGAGCAGAAGUUUGGGCUUGACAAUGUGGUGCUUAUUCAAGAUUCUGCACCAUGCCAGGAGUCAAAAGCAACACAGGCCUUUCUUGAUGAGAAGGUGCCAUUUUUUGUGAGGGCCAAUAUCUGACUCAGUAAUAUCCCAGAUCUCAACCAUCUCAGUUACUUUUUAUAAGGCAUACUUCAAGCAACGACCCAUGCUUCACCACACUCAAGUGUCAACAGUUUGAAGACCUGCAUCAUGCAUGUAACAUGCAAAAUCAAAAAGGUGUAGAUUGUGGCAGCUACAAAAAAAUUUCGUUUUUGUGUGGAGGCAGUAAUUGCUCAAAUGGGUAGCCAUAUUGAGUAAUAAAUAUUUUUGUUGUAAUAAAUGUUACAUUAAAAUUA